AACGAACGCUGGCGGCGUGCCUAACACAUGCAAGUCGAACGGGAUUCGGAGCUUGCUCCGAUGAGAGUGGCGCACGGGUGAGUAACGCGUAGAUAAUCUGCCUGAUGAUCUGGGAUAACAGUUCGAAAGGACUGCUAAUACCGGAUAAGCCCACGGAUACCUUGGUCUUUGCGGGUAAUGGGGGGGACCUUCGGGCCUUCCGGCAUCAGAUGAGUCUGCGUACCAUUAGGUAGUUGGUAGGGUAAAGGCCUACCGAGGCGACGAUGGUUAGCUGGUCUGAGAGGAUGAUCAGCCACACUGGAACUGAGACACGGUCCAGACUCCUACGGGAGGCAGCAGUGGGGAAAUUUGCACAAUGGGGGAAACCCUGACGCAGCAACGCCGCGUGAGUGAUGAAGGCUCUUGGGUCGUAAAGCUCUGACAGAGGGAAAGAAGUGUAUGGUGGUUAAUACCCAUUGUACUUGACGGUACCCUCAAAGGAAGCACCGGCUAACUCCGUGCCAGCCGCCGCCGUAACAC
rnacentral:rRNA from 1 species